rnacentral:rRNA from 1 species
UGCCAGCAGCCGCGGUAAUACGAAGGGGGCGAGCGUUAUUCGGAAUUAUUGGGCGUAAAGGGCUCGCAGGCUGCUUGAACAGUUAGACGUGAAAUCCCCGGGCUCAACCUGGGAACUGCGUUUAAUACUAGCAAGCUAGAGAAAUAGAGAGGAAAGUGGAACUCCCAGUGUAGAGGUGAAAUUCGUAGAUAUUGGGAAGAACACCAGUGGCGAAAGCGACUUUCUGGCUAUUUUCUGACGCUGAGGGGAGAACGCGUGGGUAAUACCGUUUUUAACGC